CACAACUAUUUUGGUAGGGGCUACUGAACAAGGACGUGCUCACAGGAGAUGUCAUAUCCCCCCAUGUACUUUUUUUUUUGUGCAUUUGUUUGAAGUUCCUUGGUAGUUUCAGUUUUCUUCAUAGAAAAAAAAAGUGUAGUGCAGAGUAAAAAGAAACUAAAUACAGACAACUUUAAUGUAAAAAACAAUUUUUAACUCUAAAAACAAAAAUAAAAUUGACAUAUUUGUGUUAAAUGAGACGUAGCACGAUGUUAAUUCUUGUAAUAUUUAUAUAUACCUGAAAAGAAUACGUUU